GACGAACGCUGGCGGCGUGCCUAAUACAUGCAAGUAGGACGCACAGUCUAUACCGUAGCUUGCUACACCAUAGGCUGUGAGUUGCGAACGGGUGAGUAACGCGUAGGUAACCUGCCUAUUAGAGGGGGAUAACUAUUGGAAACGAUAGCUAAUACCGCAUAACAGUAUGUAACACAUGUUAGAUGCUUGAAAGAUGCAAUUGCAUCGCUAGUAGAUGGACCUGCGUUGUAUUAGCUAGUAGGUAGGGUAAUGGCCUACCUAGGCGACGAUACAUAGCCGACCUGAGAGGGUGAUCGGCCACACUGGGACUGAGACACGGCCCAGACUCCUACGGGAGGCAGCAGUAGGGAAUCUUCGGCAAUGGGGGGAACCCUGACCGAGCAACGCCGCGUGAGUGAAGAAGGUUUUCGGAUCGUAAAGCUCUGUUGUUAAGGAAGAACGAGUGUGAGAAUGGGAAGUUCAUACUGUGACGGUACUUAACCAGAAAGGGACGGCUAACUACGUG
rnacentral:rRNA from 1 species